GACAGAGGAUGCGAGCGUUAUCCGGAAUGAUUGGGCGUAAAGCGUCUGUAGGUGGCUUUUAAGUCUGCCGUCAAAUCCCAGGGCUUAACCCUGGACAGGCGGUGGAAACUACCAAGCUGGAGUACGGUAGGGGCAGAGGGAAUUUCCGGUGGAGCGGUGAAAUGCGUAGAGAUCGGAAAGAACACCAACGGCGAAGGCACUCUGCUGGGCCGACACUGACACUGAGAGACGAAAGCUAGGGGAGCAAAUGGG
rnacentral:rRNA from 1 species